UCCGGCGUAGCUCAGUUGGCAGAGCGGGUGGCUGUUAACCACCAUGUCGUAGGUUCGAGUCCUACCGCCGGAGCCA
rnacentral:tRNA from 1 species